rnacentral:rRNA from 1 species
UACGUAGGGUGCAAGCGUUGUCCGGAAUUAUUGGGCGUAAAGAGCUCGUAGGCGGUUUGUUGCGUCGGCUGUGAAAUCCCGAGGCUCAACCUCGGGUCUGCAGUCGAUACGAGCAAACUAGAGUGUUGCAGGGGAGACUGGAAUUCCUGGUGUAGCGGUGAAAUGCGCAGAUAUCAGGAGGAACACCGGUGGCGAAGGCGGGUCUCUGGGCCGAUACUGACGCUCAGGCACGAAAGCGUGGGGGAGCAAACAGG